CCUACGGGGGGCAGCAGUGGGGAAUAUUGGACAAUGGGGGGAACCCUGAUCCAGCCAUGCCGCGUGUGUGAAGAAGGCCCUCGGGUUGUAAAGCACUUUCAGUGAGGAAGAACGCCUGGUGGUUAAUACCCAUCAGGAAAGACAUCACUCACAGAAGAAGCACCGGCUAACUCCGUGCCAGCAGCCGCGGUAAUACGGAGGGUGCGAGCGUUAAUCGGAAUUACUGGGCGUAAAGCGCGCGUAGGUGGCUUGAUAAGCCGGUUGUGAAAGCCCCGGGCUCAACCUGGGAACGGCAUCCGGAACUGUCAAGCUAGAGUGCAGGAGAGGAAGGUAGAAUUCCCGGUGUAGCGGUGAAAUGCGUAGAGAUCGGGAGGAAUACCAGUGGCGAAGGCGGCCUUCUGGACUGACACUGACACUGAGGUGCGAAAGCGUGGGUAGCAAACAGGAUUAGAUACCCCCUGUAGUC
rnacentral:rRNA from 1 species